ACCGGCCUACGGGGGGCAGCAGUGAGGAAUAUUGGUCAAUGGGCGGGAGCCUGAACCAGCCAAGUCGCGUGAGGGAAGACGGUCCUAUGGAUUGUAAACCUCUUUAGGCGGGGAGCAAUGCCGGGCACGUUUGCCCGGCGGGAGAGUACCCGCAGAAUAAGCAUCGGCUAACUCCGUGCCAGCAGCCGCGGUAAUACGGAGGAUGCGAGCGUUAUCCGGAUUUACUGGGUUUAAAGGGUGCGUAGGCGGCUUUUUAAGUCAGCGGUAAAAUGUCCGGGCUCAACCCGGGCCGGCCGUU
rnacentral:rRNA from 1 species